rnacentral:rRNA from 1 species
AUUGAACGCUGGCGGCAGGCCUAACACAUGCAAGUCGAGCGGAUGAGUGGAGCUUGCUCCAUGAUUCAGCGGCGGACGGGUGAGUAAUGCCUAGGAAUCUGCCUGGUAGGGGGGGACAACGUUUCGAAAGGAACGCUAAUACCGCAUACGUCCUACGGGAGAAAGCAGGGGACAUUCGGGCCUUGCGCUAUCAGAUGAGCCUAGGUCGGAUUCGCUAGUGGGUGAGGUAAAGGCUCACCAAGGCGACGAUCCGUAACUGGUCUGAGAGGAUGAUCAGUCACACUGGAACUGAGACACGGUCCAGACUCCUACGGGAGGCAGCAGUGGGGAAUAUUGGACAAUGGGCGAAAGCCUGGUCCAGCCAUGCCGCGUGUGUGAAGAAGGUCUUCGGAUUGUAAAGCACUUUAAGUUGGGAGGAAGGGCAGUAAGUUAAUACCUUGCUGUUUUGACGUUACCGACAGAAUAAGCACCGGCUAACUUCGUGCCAGCAGCCGCAGUAACAC